GUUGGUUGGUUGGUUGGUUGGUUGGUUGGUUGGUUGGUUGGUUGGUUGGUUGGUUGGUUGGUUGGUUGGUUGGUUGGUUGGUUGGUUGGUUGGUUAGAAUUGGUUGGUCCCUAAGUCAGUUUAGUUCGUCACUACUAGUUAGUAAAUAGUUGGUGAGAACGUCAGUUGGUAAGUAAGUUGAUAGUUGGUCAAUAAGUCAUUAUGUUAGUUUGUAGUUUUGUUGGAAGUUGAAAUGGUCAGUACGUCAGUCCUGUUAGUUGUUUAAUAAGUAUGUUGGUAGUUGGUCAUUGAACUAGUUGGUGCUUGGUUAGUCAGUCAAAUGGUAAAUCACUAAUUCUUCAGUAAAUCAGUUGGUCAAGAAGUCAUUACGUUAGUUGGUAUUUGGACAAUUUGGUAUAGGUAGCUUAAUUAGUAAGCUAGCUUAUCAUUGAACAGUUGGUCAGAACUGGUCGCUAAUUAGUCGGUUUAGUUGGUCAGUAAGUUAAUUAAGUUGGUUGGUAGUUGGUAAAAAGUCAGCUGGUUAUUAAUUAAGUCAGUUUAAGUCAAACAGUUGUUCAGUGAGUCAGUAGUUAGUUAUUUGUUUAAGUUGAUUGGUAGUUGGUAAGAAGUCAGCUGGUCAUUAAUUAAGUCAGUUUAAGUCAAGCAGUUGUUCUGUGAGUCUGCAGUAGUUACUUGUUUAAGUUGGUUGGUAGUUGGUAAGAAGUCAAGUGGUCAUCAAGUCAGUUUAAGUCAUGCAGUUGUUCAGUUAGUAUAGUUACUUACAUGUUGUAAUAUACAAGGGUGUGUCACCAAGCAUGCUUUUUGUCGUUGGCAGUAAAUCGUUUGCAAAUGGUAGUUGUCAGUAAACCAGUUGGUUGGUAAGUAAUUUAGUCAGUACGUCAGUUGGUAAGUUAGAGUCACCAUAAGUAUGUAAGUAAUUUAGUCAUUAAAUGUCAGUUGGUUUUGUAAAUAAUAAGUUAGUUGGUUGGUUAGUCUACGUCGGUGUUAGAUUGGUCAGGUGUUAAGUGGCACAUAUUUGUUCAGUCAAGUUAGUUGGUCGUUUUGUCAAUUUCGAACAGUUUUUCUUAAUCAGUUAGAAGUCAGUAUGUGAGUUAGUAUGGUUGAUCAGUUACGUCACUCGGUAUUGUUUGGUCAGUAAGUCGGUGAGCUGAUGAUCCAACAAUGUUGAACAAUAUUGGAUGAAAAUUUUCUGAAACAAAGUCAAACUCAAUCCAGCAUUGCACAGCACUCCCCAACAUAGUGUUCCAACGACGCCGGCAAAGUUUCACUCAAGAAUAUUGGAUGAUGCUGGACGAACCUGUUCGCCUCGUUUGAACGGGCCUUAAUAAGUCACUUGGUAUAGUUGAUAAGUAAGUCAGUUGGUCAAUAAGGCCUGAUUUCCAUUUCGUCGUAACUGUCGUCAGCAAGUCAUUUACGACGAUGUGAAAUAGUCUGGAUAUAUUUUUAUCUAUCUGAAUCUAUCUUGGCUUGCGUGUACUACUGUAUAUGCAUGUACAAGCAAUUUUUUGAUAGACGAGUUAAUUGCCAUUUUAUAAAGGCUGGUUUAUUUUAUCAAAAUUCCUGUGAGCACAGCAGGAAUCUUUCAUAGGUAAAUUCUAAG